UAUAAGUUCUAAUAUAUUAAUAUGGAAUCAUAUUAUUUAAUUAGUAUUGAUCAAGAAUUAAUUUAGAAUUAAUUAAGUGAUCAAAAGGAACUAAUUAAAUAUGGACUCUUAUAUAUAUGGAAUGGGCCAAGUUCAUUUAGGUUGGGCUAAGCUUUCAUGGAUAGUCCAUGGAGUGUUUAACCCAUGGAUCCUAGGAAAUGAUAGGUCAUGGGUAUUAGGGUUUAACCCUAAUCCUCCAUACUAUAUAAAGAUGUCCUUGGUUGGUGAAAUUGGCACUAGUGUGGAUACACUAAAGAAGGGCUAGCCAAUUUCACUAGAGAGAACCAAGUAAUCAUAUUCUCUAAAGUAUUCCAAGGUGUCUUGGUGAUUUGUGAUUCCACUUGAGGCUUCCANCAUUUUCCAAAGAAAAAACCAAGUAUCCAUAUUCUCUAAAGUAUUCCAAGGUGUCUUGGUAAUUUGUGAUUCCACUUGAGGCUUCCACACUAUUGGAGCUAAGCUCUUAAAGCUUGAAGACAUCAAGCUACAUCAAGAGGUAUGUAUUCUAUCUUGUUACAUUCAUAGUUUUUGUAUGCUAGAUUAGGAUAAUACCUUGGAUGUUCUUAUUUGCAUGUAUAAUAGAGAAAACAUAGAUCCAAGGUAUUUAGGGUUGCAUGUACACUUAGGAAGUGUUAGAAUGCUCAAAACCCAACAGUGGUAUCAGAGCCACGGGUUGUUUUCUGUUAUAUUGAUGCAAAUAUUUUAUUUUCAAAGUUGAAAAAAAAAAGAAAAAAAACAUGAAGUUCGUCAAAUUUUAAGAUAAUUACUUGUUCUUGUGAAAAACUAAUUAUUUGUAAAAUUUGAAUAAUUUGCUUUAUGAGUUGAAUUAGGUCAAAUUUAAUAAAAGAUAAAAUAAUAUGAUUAUUUUAUUAGUUUUAAAAGUUUGAUCUAAAGAGUUUUAUUUUUUGAAACCUCCAUAAGUUAUGGAUAUGAAAAGGUUUUAAAAAAAAAAUUGAUUCAAAGUUUUUUUGGAGUUACAAAAUUUGGUGUUAAUGUUUUAAAGGAUUCCAUAACUUAAGAAUAAGUUAUGGAUCACCAAAAGUUUUUUGUGUUACCUUGUUUUAUGAGUGAAUUUAGAUUAAUGAAUAAAAUUAUGUGAUAGUUGGUUUUAAUCCAAAUUAAUCUAAGAAUUGAUUCUAAAAUGUGUUUUUGUAACUUGUCCUCAAGUUAUAUGAAAAGUCACAUUUAAGAAUCA
rnacentral:lncRNA from 1 species